GCCGGAGUUACCGAUUGAGAACGUGGAGAGCUGAGAAUGAAUCACAACACUGGCUGGAGGAAGGUUGCUUGAAGAUUGCGGCUGCAGGUGUUAGGAAGGUGGUUUGUACGUUUUUAUCGCCGCCGGAGUUACCGAUUGUUUCAAGUCUCGGAGAAAGCGCGAUUUAUUAGGCAACUAUGCAGAUUAUGGAAAGAAAGAUUAGAGACAACUAUGCAGAUUAUAGAAGGAAAGAUUACAAGAGAUUUUCAACAUGGUGCAAGUAAAUCUGGUCAGACGUGGAUCUUCAAAGGACGGCUCAGAUGAUGCAGUUAGGUCUAGAUCUUCAUAAGACAGGUAGUAUUGUCGGUUGUCGAAUCGUCUAUGUAGUGUUCCUAAUAAUUGUAAUAUCAUAAUAAAUCAGCGUUUAAAAAAAAAAAAACAACAACUUGAAUCAAAGAUAUUAAUUAUAUUUU